rnacentral:rRNA from 1 species
CCUAGGCUAUGGACGGGCAUAACCUCGGGAAACUGAGAAUAAUGCCCGAUAGAACAUUAUGCCUGGAAUGGUUUAUGUUCCAAAUGAUUUAUCGCCGUAGGAUGGGACUGCGGCCUAUCAGUUUGUUGGUGAGGUAAUGGCCCACCAAGACUAUUACAGGUACGGGCUCUGAGAGGAGUAGCCCGGAGAUGGGUACUGAGACACGGACCCAGGCCCUAUGGGGCGCAGCAGGCGAGAAAACUUUGCAAUGUGCGAAAGCACGACAAGGUUAAUCCGAGUGGUUUCUGCUAAAGAAACCUUUUGUCAGUCCUAGAAACACUGAUGAAUAAGGGGUGGGCAAGUUCUGGUGU